AAUAGCGGAGGAAAAGAAACUAACAAGGAUUCCCCUAGUAACGGCGAGUGAAGAGGGANGAGCUCAAAUUUUAAAUCUGCCUUGUUUCAAGGUCGAGUUGUAAUUUGAAGAAGCGUUUUCUUGGGCUCGCGGCCGGUAGAAGUUCUUUGGAACAGGACAUCAUAGAGGGUGACAAUCCCGUCUGCGACCGGUCGUGCGUUCAUCUACGAUACGCUUUCAAAGAGUCGAGUUGUUUGGGAUUGCAGCUCCAAAUGGGUGGUAAACAUCACCUAAGGCUAAAUAUUGGCGAGAGACCGAUAGCGAACAAGUACCGUGAGGGAAAGAUGAAAAGAACUUUGAAAAGAGAGUUAAACAGUACGUGAAAUUGUUGAAAGGGAAACGAUUGAAGUCAGUCGUGCUGGCGCGAAAUCAACCCUCUCGUCGAGAGGUCACAUGGCGUGGCGAGCCUCAAAACCGUCACGAAGCGUGAWCUCUUGGCGAAAAGGAGCACUUUCGUGUCCGCUGGUUAACAUCAAUUUCGAACGUCAUAAAAAGGCUGGAGGGAUGUGGCUCCUUCGGGAGUGUUAUAACCUUUAGCGGAAUGUGGUGGUCGGGAUUGAGGAUUGCAACGAAUACCUUUAGGGCUGUUCCACCUGGCCUCUCUUUGGUAUCCUGGUGACGACAGCUUGCUGACGUCGUUAGGAUUCGCCUUGAACAGGCUAGAGUGUGAGCAAAUCGUAA
rnacentral:rRNA from 1 species